GAUGAACGCUGGCGGCGUGCCUAAUACAUGCAGGUCGAGCGAACGGACGAGAAGCUUGCUUCUCUGAUGUUAGCGGCGGACGGGUGAGUAACACGUGGAUAACCUACCUAUAAGACUGGGAUAACUUCGGGAAACCGUAGCUAAUACCGGAUAAUAUUUUGAACCGCAUGGUUCAAAAGUGAAAGACGGUCUUGCUGUCACUUAUAGAUGGAUCCGCGCUGCAUUAGCUAGUUGGUAAGGUAACGGCUUACCAAGGCAACGAUGCAUAGCCGACCUGAGAGGGUGAUCGGCCACACUGGAACUGAGACACGGUCCAGACUCCUACGGGAGGCAGCAGUAGGGAAUCUUCCGCAAUGGGCGAAAGCCUGACGGAGCAACGCCGCGUGAGUGAUGAAGGUCUUCGGACCGUAAAACUCUGUUAUUAGGGAAGAACAUAUGUGUAAGUAACUGUGCACAUCUUGACGGUACCUAAUCAGAAAGCCACGGCUAACUACGUG
rnacentral:rRNA from 1 species